rnacentral:sRNA from 1 species
UAAUUCGCUUAAUCUAUUUUAGAGCGGGGGAACCAAUCGUACAUUACAUGUACAUGGGGUGAAUCCUUUAUAAGGUAGGGUACUCUCAAAACCCGAACCCGACAGCUAACCUCGUAGGCCAUUUGAGGG